GGGGAUUUAGCUCAGUGGUAUAAGCACCUGCCUGGCAAGCAUGAGGUCAUGAGUUCAAUUCCCA
rfam:Cavia porcellus supercont2_20 genomic scaffold, whole genome shotgun sequence.